CUUCACCGAGCCGAGCCACAGGGGCCGUUCGCGGUUGUCGCCGUAGGUGGCGAGCAGGGCUUCGGCCUC
rnacentral:antisense_RNA from 1 species